rnacentral:rRNA from 1 species
UACAGAGACUGCAAGCGUUAUUCGGAUUCACUGGGCGUAAAGGGUGCGCAGGCGGUUUUGUAAGCCAGAUGUGAAAUCCCCGGGCUUAACCUGGGAAUGGCAUUUGGGACUGCAAGGCUGGAGUACGGCAGAGGAGACUGGAAUUCCUGGUGUAGCAGUGAAAUGCGUAGAGAUCAGGAGGAAUACCGAUGGCGAAGGCAGGUCUCUGGGCUGAUACUGACGCUCAUGCACGAAAGGCGUGGGGAGCAAACAGG